UGGGGAAACGCGAUAGACUCAUGUGGGCUUACUUUGGCUCAGUGGUGAGCAAUUUUACACAUUAUUGCAAUUCAUAGCUGUCAAUCACGUGACCAACUCGAAGAACAGGAGGGCAAAACAUCUAGCCUAUAGAACAAAGCACAACACCAGCAGAUGUCACUCUUUUCUCAGUCAAACGGAGCAGGACUACUGUCAUAUGCAUCUUUCAAGUCAUAUAAACAACAUUCAACAUUCAAUUUGAGGCAAAGUCCAUCUUACCUCCUACUAAGGAGAUCCAGACCUUGUGGACGGCUGUGGCUGACUGGCUCCAUUCACUAUUCUCCUGGGAUCUCCAGGAUACAGCGUCUGACAUGCCUUCAUGGAGGUUUAGCAGAGCCGCGUUUGGUGGGACCCUCUGGAACGGACCCUCGACCAGAUUGUGUUGUGGUCUGCGGGGACAGAGUGUGCCAGUGGAACAGAGCGGGGAGGAUCUGGUUCACUCGGCCCGCUCAGGUUUCCUCACAUUGAGCUCAUGUUACAGUCCUGGCAAGGUGUGACUCUCAAAGUUCCUCUUCCGAACCGAGUGCACUAUUAAGACGCUUCUUCCUCCGGAUCAUCUUGUCACAUGUAUUGUAUCUAUGCUUUUUAGAGCAUGCUAGCUAUUGUUUUGGUUCUGUACAGGCAGAUGACAUCAUGGAAAAGUAAAGUUACGGGUUUCACAA